UCCGCCAGGGGACUACAAGCAUUAAGCUUAAAACCCAAAGGACUUGGCGGUGCUUUAGACCCACCUAGAGGAGCCUGUUCUAGAACCGAUAACCCUCGUUAAACCUCACCCUUUCUUGUUAAUAAACCGCCUAUAUACCGCCGUCGUCAGCUUACCUUGUGAAAGAACAAUAGUAAACAAAAACGGUUUAACCCAAAACGUCAGGUCGAGGUGUAGCGAAUGAAAGGGGAAGAAAUGGGCUACAUUCUCUGUAACAGAAAAUUACGGAAUAUAUCAUGAAAAAAAUAUAUAAAGGAGGAUUUAGCAGUAAAUGGGGAAUAGAGUGCCCU
rnacentral:rRNA from 1 species